rnacentral:rRNA from 1 species
GAUGAACGCUGGCGGCGUGCCUAAUACAUGCGAGUCGAGCGAACGGACGAGAAGCUUGCUUCUCUGAUGUUAGCGGCGGACGGGUGAGUAACACGUGGAUAACCUACCUAUAAGACUGGGAUAACUUCGGGAAACCGGAGCUAAUACCGGAUAAUAUUUUGAACCGCAUGGUUCAAAAGUGAAAGACGGUCUUGCUGUCACUUAUAGAUGGAUCCGCGCUGCAUUAGCUAGUUGGUAAGGUAACGGCUUACCAAGGCAACGAUGCAUAGCCGACCUGAGAGGGUGAUCGGCCACACUGGAACUGAGACACGGUCCAGACUCCUACGGGAGGCAGCAGUAGGGAAUCUUCCGCAAUGGGCGAAAGCCUGACGGAGCAACGCCGCGUGAGUGAUGAAGGUCUUCGGAUCGUAAAACUCUGUUAUUAGGGAAGAACAUAUGUGUAAGUAACUGUACACAUCUUGACGGUACCUAAUCAGAAAGCCACGGCUAACUACGU